rnacentral:misc_RNA from 1 species
GUAAUGGUUUCCUUACUCCUAAAUCCAAAUGCUAAUUGAUUUGUUACAUGCCUUCCACUACAAAGUACAAUGUAAAGAUUUUCGCUAAUUCAGUGAAGUAAUUCUAAGAAAUUCUUGAAAUUAACUAUCUUUUGCCUAAGUCUGAUUAGUAUCAAGUCCUGCAAAUUGAAUGGAAUAUGAUAAACUAAAUUAAGACUGCUCCUUUCUACCUGGCUAGUUAUCUGUCAGUAACUCCUUGUGCCACUGUUAAUUACUGAAUCACUGUUGGUCUAGGCAUUGUGACAAGGCUAAUGUCAAUAAGGAAAUUAAUAAAUGAAAUUGAAUCAACAAAC